UACGGAGGGGGCUAGCGUUGUUCGGAAUUACUGGGCGUAAAGCGCACGUAGGCGGCUUUGUAAGUUAGAGGUGAAAGCCCAGGGCUUAACCCUGGAAUUGCCUUUAAGACUGCAUCGCUAGAAUCGUGGAGAGGUAAGUGGAAUUCCGAGUGUAGAGGUGAAAUUCGUAGAUAUUCGGAAGAACACCAGUGGCGAAAGGCGACUUACUGGACACGUAUUGACGCUGAGGU
rnacentral:rRNA from 1 species